rnacentral:tRNA from 1 species
GCCUGGGUGGCUCAGUCAGAUAAGCAUCUGACUUUGGCUCAGGUCAUGAGCUCAUAGUUCGUGGGUUCAAACCCUGCAUCAGGCU